CACGUAGGGAGCGAGCGUUGUCCGGAAUCAUUGGGCGUAAAGAGCGCGCAGGCGGCUUGGCAAGUCGGGUGUGAAAUCCCGGGGCUCAACCCCGGGACUGCAUUCGAUACUGUCAGGCUAGAGGUAGGUAGGGGAGAUCGGAAUUCCUGGUGUAGCGGUGAAAUGCGCAGAUAUCAGGAGGAACACCGGUGGCGAAGGCGGAUCUCUGGGCCUUACCUGACGCUCAGGCGCGAAAGCGUGGGGAGCAAACAGG
rnacentral:rRNA from 1 species